rnacentral:rRNA from 1 species
CGUGCUUAAUACAUGCAAGUCGUACGAGAAAGUAGUCUCGGCUGGCGAGUAAAGUGGCGAACGGGUGAGUAACACGUGGACAAUCUGCCCUUGAGUCUGGGAUAAUCCCCCGAAAGGGGGUCUAAUACCGGAUGAUACCAUCGAAUGGCAUCAUUUGAUGUUCAAAGGCGGGGCAACCUGCCGCUUGGGGAUGAGUCCGCGCCUCAUUAGCUUGUUGGCGGGGUAACGGCCCACCAAGGCGACGAUGGGUAGCCGGCCUGAGAGGGUGAUCGGCCACACUGGGACUGAGAUACGGCCCAGACUCCUACGGGAGGCAGCAGUAGGGAAUAUUGCGCAAUGGACGCAAGUCUGACGCAGCAACGCCGCGUGGGUGAUGAAGCAUCUUGGUGUGUAAAACCCUGUCAGUGGGGAAGAAACGUGCUGGUAGUUACUGACCGGCACCUGACGGUACCCACAGAGGAAGCACCGGCUAACUCCGUGCCAGCAGCCGCGGUAAUACGGGGGGUGCAAGCGUUGUUCGGAUUUACUGGGUGUAAAGGGCGUGUAGGCGGGCCUUCAAGUCGGGUGUGAAAACCUCGGGCUUAACCCGGGGCCUGCACUCGAUACUGGAGGCCUUGAGUACAGGAGAGGAAAGCGGAAUUCCAGGUGUAGCGGUGAAAUGCGUAGAUAUCUGGAAGAACACCAGUUGCGAAGGCGGUCUCCUGGACCAAUACUGACGCUGAUGCUCGAAAGCUGGGGGAGCGAACAGGAUUAGAUACCCUGGUAGUCCCAGCCGUAAACGAUGGACACUAGUUGCCGGAGGAGUCAAUCCCUUCGGUGACGAAGCUAACGCAUUAAGUGUCCCGCCUGGGGAGUACGCUCGCAGGGGUGAAACUCAAAGGAAUUGACGGGGGCCCGCACAAGCGGUGGAGCAUGUGCUUUAAUUCGAUGCAACGCGAAGAACCUUACCUGGGUUUGACAUGGGGGUGAAAGUUUCCAGAGAUGGAAGCCUUUCCUUCGGGAACACCCCACACAGGUGCUGCAUGGUUGUCGUCAGCUCGUGUCGUGAGAUGUUGGGUUAAGUCCCGCAACGAGCGCGACCCCUGCCCUUAGUUGCCAUCAGGUAAAGCUGGGAACUCUAAGGGGACAGCUUGGUAUAACCAGGAGGAAGGUGGGGAUGACGUCAAAUCAUCAUGGCUCUUACGCCCAGGGCUAGACACGUGCUACAAUGGCAGGUACAGUGGGAUGCCAGCCUGCGAAGGUGAGCUAAUCCCUUAAAACCUGUCUCAGUCCGGAUUGGAGUCUGCAACUCGACUCCAUGAAGUUGGAAUCGCUAGUAAUCGCGGAUCAGCAUGCCGCGGUGAAUACGUUCCCGGGCCUUGUACACACCGCCCGUCAAGCCAUGAAAGGCGGUAGUACCCGAAGUCGCGUACCCAACCGUAAGGAGGGAAGCGCCGAAGGUA